CUUACGUCUUUUAUAUUUCUGAAGCAGGAGAAGAGAGAUCUUCGUAAUCCGAAGAGAGACUUCGGAAUGUUACGUCCAUAUAUUUGUAUUGCUAUAGAAAGAAAACGAAAAACGCUCGAGGGCUUUCGCGGAUCUUUCUCCGCGGCUUACGUAAAGCGCCAAUUGUAAGAGUCGCAGAGGAGAGAUCCAAGAUGAAUCUCGGAGGGUGAUGCCAUCGUCUGAGGACGGCCGGUCCGCGACAGCGAUACGCGGACGAGGGGUGGGAUAACGCGACGGCGCGGAAAAAAUGGGCGGAAAGGAAGAAACGACGAGGCCGAGAAUAAACGGGCGGCGGAUAAAAAUAAAGGAACGCCGUGAACGCGAAAAGGAGAGAGAAGGCGAGGAAGAAAUGUGGGCUAAAAGUGUCUUCUCCUGACCUGCGGCUGCUACUAAGGCCUGGCUCAACUCGAUGACUCACUCGUUUACCCCUCUAGGCCCCGCCGCCGCGCGGUCGGUUGGCUCUCGCGAAGCGGCCACCAACCCCAAACUGUCGUCGCCAAUCAUUAUUCCAACGUUGGCAAAGCUCCUUACUGAUUUCAAAUCUAGCUCGCGACAGUACAUGAGUAAUGCUAUGCAAAAUGGUCUGUGUUGUGAAACGAUUUUCCCCGAAAGUUCCCGAAAUUAGAAGAAAGCUUCGAAUUGCUCCAACAUUGACAAAAAUCGAUUUUAUGUUCUCCAAUUAAGGCUGUCACGGUUUCGAAAUUAUAUCGAUAACGGAAACGUCAAUUUUGGAAAAUAAUUAUUUACAAGGACAUAUAUGUCGGUACAGCGAUCAAGACGGUGCAAUUUACACGGUGAUCGCGCAACGGUCGUCGCACCCGAUGAAAAUCCUGUUACUCAAACACCACGUUCUUAAGCAAGGAUUCGAAACAGCGAGCUUCACACGCGGAAACGAGAAUGUUUACAACUGUGGAAUCCGAGUUCUUGCUGAUACCAAGAAUUUUUGCGAUUAUAUUCACGGUCGUAUCAAAAAAGAGUGGAUGCCGCGCGAGUAUACAAGCGCGGCGCAAGAAAUUCCGAUGAAAGCAAGAGUGAUUGAAUAUUUAUGCGACAUACAAAAUAUUGCAAAAUUACUGGCAUUAUGUUAAACAAAAGUAAAAAGAGAACGCAAUUGAUUUGAUAUUGAUGAUCGAGCUAUGUACAAUAAAAAUUUGAGGAAUCUUUAUUGAGCGAAGUUCUUCGCUAUCUUUAGCAGAACUUUAAUCCGAGAUUUAUCAAAAGAUUUUUCUAUCAUUACGUUAACUUAUUUCAAAUCCAGCUCGCGGCAGUAAUGCUAUGCAAAACAGUCCAUGUUUCAAAACGAUUUUUCCAAAAUUUAUCCGCGAUUUUCCCCGACAUUGGUAAAAAUCCUCCGAUUUUAUGUUUAAUCGAGGUAAAAAAAGAAAAAAAAAUAAUAAAACUUAAUAUAACUUAAUUUUAAAAAACCAUCAUUGAAAUAAUUUUAUGAUGCUUUAUGUAACAAGGAGUAAUGUAAAAGGCGAGAUUAGUCAUUUUUUUAUAGUCAUAUGUAAACAAAUGUAGAUUUCGUAACUAGCAAUAAAAUUUACGGCAAAAUUAGUUAA